GACGAACGCUGGCGGCGUGCUUAACACAUGCAAGUUGAACGGAAAGGCCCUGCUUUUGUGGGGUGCUCGAGUGGCGAACGGGUGAGUAACACGUGAGUAACCUGCCCUUGACUUUGGGAUAACUUCAGGAAACUGGGGCUAAUACCGGAUAGGAGCUCCUGCUGCAUGGUGGGGGUUGGAAAGUUUCGGCGGUUGGGGAUGGACUCGCGGCUUAUCAGCUUGUUGGUGGGGUAGUGGCUUACCAAGGCUUUGACGGGUAGCCGGCCUGAGAGGGUGACCGGCCACAUUGGGACUGAGAUACGGCCCAGACUCCUACGGGAGGCAGCAGUGGGGAAUAUUGCACAAUGGGCGGAAGCCUGUUGCAGCAACGCCGCGUGCGGGAUGACGGCCUUCGGGUUGUAAACCGCUUUCGCCUGUGACGAAGCGUGAGUGACGGUAAUGGGUAAAGAAGCACCGGCUAACUACGUG
rnacentral:rRNA from 1 species